AACCAAAGUGUAGAGCUUCAUUCAGGGCAGCUUUCCCGUUCUGGUAAACGUUGGGACAUUAAGACAAGGUCUAGGAGAGAAGAUUGGGUAGAGGCACGUAUUCAUUUCCCUCCUAGCCUACCAAA
rnacentral:snoRNA from 1 species